GCGCCCGUAGCUCAGUGGAUAGAGCACCGACCUCCUAAGUCGGGGGCCGCAGGUUCGAUUCCUGCCGGGCGCGCCA
rnacentral:tRNA from 1 species